UUAUUCAGGAAGCCCAAAAACUUCUUAUCCAGAUAACCUAUUGUCUUUGUACGGAGGGACAUUGGAGAAAAAAAAUGAACUGUGCUUUUGCAAGAUCCCGAGUUACUUUUGUGAGAUCCUGCUACAUUUUCAUAGCGGUUCUGUUUCUGUCCAUUCCAGAGUCAGAAGGGCCCACGGAGUAGACAUGGAGGAAGAUUUAGGACAUUUCCUGCGGUCAAGAGAGGUCCCACAAGAGGACAUCAUGCACAUGCAACAACACAAGAUUCAGAAUUUCCAGAUGGAACCAAAACCAAAAAAUCUGAAAUCACUAUGUGAGACAGUGACAGCACAAAGUCCAGACAUAGACGAAGUGGAUACGGUUUUAUGGAAUCUUGAAGAGGACCUUGUCAGAGCAGAUGGUGAUGACACAAACGUGACAACCCUGAGUUAUGUCAAC